rnacentral:snRNA from 1 species
CAAGCUGUGCACAAUCAUAAUCA